rnacentral:rRNA from 1 species
GACGAACUGUCCUAACGUUGUUCGGAAUCACUGGGCUUAAAGGGCGCGUAGGCGGUCCGACAAGUCAGGGGUGAAAUCCUACAGCUUAACUGCAGAAGUGCCUUUGAUACUGUCGGUCUUGAGGGAGAUAGGGGUGUGCGGAACUCACAGUGGAGCGGUGAAAUGCGUUGAUAUUGUGAGGAACGCCGGAGGCGAAAGCGGCGCACUGGAUCUCUUCUGACGCUGAGGCGCGAAAGCUAGGGGAGCAACGGG